GAGAUAUUGAUAAUUUGAUUCUGAUCUGUAAUUACUUCCUGUAACAAGAACCCCAGUUUUACAAUUAUAAUGGCUGCAUAUAACUAUGAACAAAGACUAUUCGUUUGUUUUGCCAGUUCUACUUCUCCCUUCAAAACGUAGCCUCGUCUCCUUAUUGAAAGGAAACUUGCUCAGCUUAAUCGCUAGCUCUUUUAAGAGCUCUGCCUCUCUACUGCUCCAAGGAUUCAGCGGAUGGGAUCUCGCCUCCAACGGCAGAUACCCCUUGUAUCAAGAUUGUCAUUAGACUAAAAUAACUUUGUAAUAAUAGUUCAUGCCAUCUGUAAUCCUAUGAGCAGGAGGUAUAACAGGAUGUAUUCCUCUUGGAACUAGUUUUAGUGAUACAUAGGAUUCUAAACUCUUGAUUUCCCACCAAGUACUACUUUGUUUUUUUAUAUGAUUUUUUUGCACUUGAAAGAACGUUUGAUUGAUAUUGGCUUGUGAAUUUGUGACAUUUAUUAACAAAGGAGCCAUGGGGAAUACAUUUGAAGUGUCCUGUUGUCAUUGUUCUUUAUUGACAACAGACAUGAGCAGGUUCGUAAUGAGGGAGCCCAGAGAUAUGAAAAUAGAUUGUACGAUAAUAUAACACUGCUUAGCAGUUAAAAUAGAACCUUUUCCUCUGUAAACUCACAAUAAACGGAAAUAAACAUUCUAGGUAAACAUAAAGGCAACAUGUACACUGUUUAUGGGUUUAUUAGAGAAUUUUAAACGUUACACAAAUAGGAAAUACAAACACAGGAUCCCUGAUUCAUUUAUUAAACUCCUGUAAGAGGAAUCACACAUAUCUGCUCACCGUAUAGUAUGAGAGCUGCCUGCAAAGGUAACACUGUCAGCUCAGAAGCCAAACUAGGAUCCUUGACAGGGAUCUUCUCUCUGUACUGGAAGGGACCCUAGUCAGGCACUUCACACUGUGUGGGUCCAGUGCGCACUGUGACAGUCUCUAUUCUAAACAGUGCUUGCUGUGACUGUCUAGUCUAAGCAUUGCUCGCUAUGACGGUCUCUAGUUUGAGCAGUGCACGCUGUGACGGUCUCUAGUCUGAGCAGUGCACACUGUGACGGUCUCUAGUCUGAGCAGGUCACGUUGUGACAGUCUCUAGUCUGAGCAGUGCACACUGUGACGGUUUCCAGUCUAAGCCGUGCAUGCUGUGACGGUCUCGAGUCUGAGCAGGUCACGCUGUGACGGUCUCUGGUCUGAGCAGGUCACGCUGUGACGGUCUCUGGUCUGAGCAGUGCACGCUGUGAAGGUCUCUGGUCUGAGCAGUGCACGCUGUGAACGUCUCUGGUCUGAGCAGUGCAUGCUGUGACAGUAUCGAGUCUGAGCAGGUCACGCUGUGACGGUCUCUGGUCUGAGCAGGUCACGCUGUGACGGUCUCUGGUCUGAGCAGUGCACGCUGUGAAGGUCUCUGGUCUGAGCAGUGCACGCUGUGAAGGUCUCUGGUCUGAGCAGUGCAUGCUGUGACAGUAUCGAGUCUGAGCAGGUCACACUGUGACGGUCUCUGGUCUGAGCAGGUCACACUGUGAUGGUCUCUAGUCUGAGCAGGUCACGCUGUGACGGUCUCUAGUCUGAGCAGGUCACACUGUGACAGUCUCUAUUCUGAGGUCACGCUGUGACGGUCUCUAGUCUGAGCAGGUCACACUGUGACGUCUCUAUUCUGAGCAGGUCACACUGUGACGGUCUCUAUUCUGAGCAGGUCACGCUGUGAAGGUCUUUAGUCUGAGCUGUGACUGUCUCUAGUCUGAGCAGGUCACACUGUGACGGUCUCUAUUCUAAACAGUGCUUGCUGUGACUGUCUAGUCUAAGCAUUGCUCGCUAUGACGGUCUCUAGUUUGAGCAGUGCACGCUGUGACGGUCUCUAGUCUGAGCAGUGCACACUGUGACGGUCUCUAGUCUGAGCAGGUCACGUUGUGACAGUCUCUAGUCUGAGCAGUGCACGCUGUGACGGUUUCCAGUCUAAGCCGUGCAUGCUGUGACGGUCUCGAGUCUGAGCAGGUCACGCUGUGACGGUCUCUGGUCUGAGCAGGUCACGCUGUGACGGUCUCUGGUCUGAGCAGUGCACACUGUGAAGGUCUCUGGUCUGAGCAGUGCACGCUGUGAACGUCUCUGGUCUGAGCAGUGCAUGCUGUGAC